UACAGAGGGGGCAAGCGUUAUUCGGAAUUAUUGGGCGUAAAGGGCGCGUAGGCGGCCUGGCAAGUGACGGGUGAAAGCCCUCGGCUCAACCGAGGAACUGCCUGUCAUACUGCCGGGCUUGAGUCCGGGAGAGGUGAGUGGAAUUCCCAGUGUAGCGGUGAAAUGCGUAGAUAUUGGGAAGAACACCGGUGGCGAAGGCGGCUCUCUGGACCGAGACUGACGCUGAGGCGCGAAAGCGUGGGGAGCAAACAGG
rnacentral:rRNA from 1 species